UCACCACUCUGGCCUUUUGGCUUAGAUCAAGUGUAGUAUCUGUUCUUAAUAGUUUAACCACUAUUAUGAGGGCACAGCCCUCAUUCUUGGUUAUCUAAUUUUUGCCGCCCUUGUCUCUCUCCGAGCUCUGCUUGCAACUCGAGGGGUGUAAUGACCUUGCUAUUGCACUAUUGGCUUGUGUCGUUGGGGGAUC
rnacentral:snRNA from 1 species